rnacentral:lncRNA from 1 species
AGCGAACAAAGCUAGAGAUGACUACAAAACAUUGGUUGGCUCUGAAAACCCACCAUUAACAGUAAUUCGCAAAUUUGUAUACCUGCUGGACCAAAGUGAUUUGGAUUUCCAGGAGGAACUAGAGGUUGCACGAUUAAGGGAAGAAGUAGUGACCAAGAUCAGGGCCAAUCAACAGCUGGAAAAAGACCUGAACCUGAUGGACAUCAAGAUUGGACUGCUGGUGAAGAACAGGAUCACACUAGAGUUUUCAGAAAACUGAUAGGUCAAAGAGGGAAACUGAUCUUCUGGAAGCUCUGAGAAGGCUACAGUGGCUCAUAGAGCGCCAGCGGCCAGCAACCAAGCGAACGUUCUGGACAACGGGGAGAUGAGCAGCCACAGGAGGCUGCCAGUUACAUGGGCAUGUGAAUGCCCCAGGCUGGUCCUCCAGACCUCAUAAAGACACCAGGGCAAUUGUGGAGGAGAAAAUAAGAAAAACAGCAUUUUAUAAACAGAAAUAAUCAUCUCUUCUAAAUAUUCAGGAAUAAAACUACAGUUUAAAUGUU